GGUUGCUUUUGGGCCCAGCCCAUCUAUAAACUUAUAAGGCCUGAUCCAGAUUUAUUAACCAUAGUUUUGAACUGUAUCUUUAAGGGGAAAAAAAAAGGGUGUGGUUUAAAAUUUUACCCGAUAUUAACUAAACGAGACGUUGUUCCAUUCGGUUAGAUGAUGAUGUAGGAUGAGAAUAUGAAAGUACAAAUUGGUAGCUUGGGAGUUGAGAUUCUAACACGAAGUUGGAUUUGAUGAAUUGGAUGAUAACCAUUAUAUAUUAGUGUGCUUGUAUAUUUAUAGUGAUUCACGAUGAAUACAAAAUGUGCUGACGAUGAAGAAGUUCUCUUUACUCGUAAAGAUGAGGUUGUUCAGAGUGAAAACAAUAUACAUUGAUGUGUUGGGACAAAUAUCUUUUUGUUUGUGUUUAUGCUUUCUUACAACAAGACUCGGUGUGUAUAUAUGCUUGUGAUUUUGUCAACUAUGAACUUAAUUUUUGAAGAUUUGCUUCUUUGCUGAUCAGAUGCGAGAAGGGAAUAUUGAAAUUAAGUUUAACAUGUUUGAAUAUAACAUAACUGCUAUUGUUAAAAAAAAAAAACAUAACUGCUAAAGCUUAGUAUUCGGUUCGACAAAUCUAAAACAAAGUAAUAACUGAACUCAUAAAAACUAGUAUACACCAUUUGACAUCCCUAAUUGUAUACUAGUUAAGAAAAUCCAACGCUACUAAUUAAGGAAAUUAAGUCUUGCAGAUUUGAAAAUCAGAUGGAUCAAUCACCUUGAAGAAAAAAUCUCCUCGGUCACACUAAUUGUCAAUUGAUGCAGAAAAAUAAAGAAGAUAUGGUGGUGUAAGUACGCAUGAGUUCAUUGAAGGACAUCGUGUAUCUAAACCAAUUUUCUGAUCAAAUGUAUAUACUAAUAUACAAUUAGUUUAUUUAAAAUGCAAUGAAAGCCUUCAAUAUCAUCCCAAGAACAAUUUUUCUUCCAUUCAACUUAGCAUGUCACGACAUAUAUAGCUGAUAAGGUGUUCUUCACAACGUUACUGGUUACUAAUUGGAAAUGUAAAUUGAGUUAUUAAACAUCUAGUAAUAGAUCCAUAUCUCACAAACGUUACAAACCAGUUAGAAUCAGAUGGUUUAUUCUUUCUACAGUUCCAGUUCUUGCUUGAUGAGUUAAUGAGUUACCUAUUUCAUGAUGUUGCAACGUCUUCAUAUCUUUCUAGUCGCAUAAAAAUGAUUUUUUUUACUUGCGUUUCAAAACUACAGUUUUGUUUUGGUUAAAAGAAACUAAAGGUGAACCUUUAACUGCCUUAGAUAAAUAGCUAACUCAUUUAAGCUAAGUUAUUCCUCACCUUACGAUUCGAAAACAAGCUUGAAUGAUCUUAUAUUCAUAGUUUAUAACUUCUUCUCCUCAAUGCAGAAACUUUGUUAAACAUGCAGAAAACUAAAGGCAAAUAUCAAGAAUCUUGAAAAUAACCGAAGCUUGUAUGAAACUGAACAUUGUGAAUAUCCGGCCCCGAUAUACAAAGUCAACCACGUGUGGGCUUGGGAGCUUUAUAAAUUAAUUAUUUUAGGAGCCCAGCCCAAGUCAUUUUUGUAUAUUUCUUAUCACACUGCUAAAAAGGGGAUUUCCUCUCCCCUUAAGCAUGCCACGUCAUUUUAUUUAAUCGACCAAUCAGAGCUUUUUAAUUUCGGAUUGGGCUUCGGAUUUGAUUUUAUGGACUUCGUUUCAAUUACAGGUUAUGAGUAUUUUUGUUUUGCCGUACAAUUUUUUUUUUCCUAAACCUAGCUCUCUACGAGAGGAAGUCGCGAGACUGCGAGGCUCUUCUCCUCAUCCCAAUUCACUUCGUCUUCUCACCUUCAAACCCUAGACCAAUCAGCUCCACUUCUCCGAUUUGAAGGCUGGUCGUUUGGAUGACAGAGUUGUCACAAGUCUUCUUCGUUUUUGGGAGGCUAGGAACGUUAAGAAAUCUGGUGAGCUUAUGAGUGUGGAUUUCAUGCUCCUCAAUGAGAAGUGCCGUCGACAUUCCAAGAUUACGGGGAAGAAAGUCACAGUUGGUCUUAUCUCUGCAACCCCUCUGAACGCAACACUACUCUUUCCAACGGCGGCGUUAAAACCUAGAUUGCUCUUUUUUAGGCUGCAACCUCAUACUUGGUGUGAGGCGGGAAGCUCGCAAGGUGUGAAGCGUGAAAGUGAGACUGAAACUGAAACGGAUGCCUGACUCAGAGAACCGGCUAGCUUCUCUUUGAUUUUUUUUUCUAUCAUAUAUAUGGCUUAACAAUCUUAUGCUUUUCGAAAAGGUUUGGAGAAAAUCCAUGGUUAGUAGUUCCGGUCACUGGUGAGGUAACAAUGGUGUAGAAACUCUCGAGAGUUCUUUUGUGGGUUCAAAAAGAAAACAUGGCAAUGGUGGUGAAACACAUUUCAAUGAGCUUAGCAAUGGAGACACUGGGGUAUCAUCAUCCGUAACUUUAAACCAUUGAUUUUCCUCUGUACGUUUAACUAUUUAUGCCACAAAUAUUUUGGGUUCAUGUAUCUGUUAAUGUCUUAUGCAGAAAACAGCUAUGGUUUCAAGAGGAGAGUUGACUUUUCAAAAUAUUUACGGUGCAGAGGCAUUGCUGAAUGCAGAAGAUGAGGACGGCUAUAGUGAUUGGGAACCUCUGCAGCAGAAGAUGCCAGUUGAGUUUGUGAAAUGGUGUUGCUUCAAUUGCACUAUGGCAAAUCCUGGUGAUAUGGUUCAUUGUUAUGUAUAUUUUGCUUACUUUUUCAUGUUUGAAUAAUUUUGUUUCUGAUCUUAUCAUUACCAGCGUCUGCAAUUACUUGGCUGAGGCAUGGAUAUUUUGCAUCUCUGUUAUUUAAAAGACACUGGUCUCUCACCGAAGUCGAAGAGAAAUGUGGAGGAAAUUCAUCUGCAGCUAGCUCAACAGCUGUUGGUUUUGAGGAGAUAAUGUUGCUGCACUCAGAAGUAUGAUUUUGUACCUGUUAUAGUUUCAUGAGAUAUCUGUUGACGUCAAUACAAUUUAUUUACCUCCAAAGCUUUUCUUCGUGCAAUUAUUUCGCAAGAGCUCCAGAUGGUGAGCUGCUACUUAAUUGUCUUAGAGACAUAUCUAACUGCGCGUAGUUUGUUUAUUUCCUUACUUUUGCAAACAAGUCACUAACUGAUUUUUUUCUUUCAAUUUAAGGUCUACACUUUAGAGCAUGUUAAUUUCACAAGCCAGCUUCUCUAUAGGUUUGAAUUUACCUGCAACGUUCCAGGGGUCAUCAUGCAAAACAUGAUUUGCUUGUGUUAUUUUGUCUUUCACUGCUCAUAAUUUCCUAUUGUUUGCCAGCUACUUCACCGCCGACACAUACUAAUAAGUAUUGAGCACCUGCUGCUAAUCUAGCAGCAGGUUUGUGUGCUGAUCUAGCUAAGGAAAUUUCCUCAUGAUAAAAUGUUAAUCAGCCGGGAACUUAGAAGCUCAUUAUGAUUAAGCUUAGGUCAGAUUGGUAAGUUGCUCAAAUGUGAUGUGCCGAGGUUAAAUGUCUUUAAACUUGCAACUAAAGGUAUAUUCACACAGCAGUUUUGGUGAGCCUGACAUGAACUGCUCGACAAGUUCGACAAAGUAUGGGGGUGUUCAGAAAAUUUAAACUAUGACGGUCUCUGAGCUAAACGCUUAUGUCCUCCAUUGUCAACCGCAUGUGCAUUCCGUUCCUGGUCCAUUCUGCUAAAUGUUAUCACAACAAUAUACAUAUUACACACAUGUAAUAUUACGUCUACAUCUUCAGUUGAUUAUUUUGUUCUGGUACUUAUCUUUUACCAGCUUAAACUUUAACGGUUUCGAUAGAUAAAUGUUUGGUUUAUCUCA